UACGAAGGGGGCUAGCGUUGCUCGGAAUUACUGGGCGUAAAGGGCGCGUAGGCGGUUCUGUUGGUCAGGCGUGAAAUUCCUGGGCUUAACCUGGGGGCUGCGCUUGAUACGGCAGGGCUAGAGGACGGAAGAGGCUCGUGGAAUUCCCAGUGUAGAGGUGAAAUUCGUAGAUAUUGGGAAGAACACCGGUGGCGAAGGCGGCGAGCUGGUCCGUUACUGACGCUGAGGCGCGACAGCGUGGGGAGCAAACAGG
rnacentral:rRNA from 1 species